UGCAGUCUUUUGAGUUAUUUCAACCUCUUCUCCAUGUUUCUAUGACUUUUUCAUUUUCCUGAGUACCAUAAUCUGUAUCUAUAAACUUCCUUUUGCCAAGCAUUGUUUUUCAUCCUCUCCCAACCUAAUAGAUUCCACUUUUUUUUUUAGAUUCUUUUUUUUUUUUAUGAGCCUCAUCAAUAGAUGGAUACAUAGAGGAAAAGUCAUACUACGUCUACAAAGUGUCAGUAUCAGGCAGCAGCUUCGAAACCGAAGUGAUGAUUAGAGGUGAAGUGAAAUUUUAGUUGACGGAAAAAGCAGACAAUCAAAAAGGUAGAUCCGAUGAUAACAUGAAGACCGUGGAAU
ensembl:lincRNA